AGGGAGCUGAUAUAUUGCAGUCCUAUCAGGACUGCAAGUCUGCAACCAGGAAACAACGAUGGUUGCUUCUUUCUUUGCCCCUGCUAGCCAUUGGAACGUUUGGGAAAGCAUGUUGUUGAUCUGGAUAGCCCCUUCCAGGACAUCUUCGUGCAUUGUUGCGUUGUUGGGCAUGGAAGAAACAGGGUAUAUUUACAAUUGCAUUUGCCCCACUGACUGCUGCGUAUCUUCCCCUCCAUUGAUUAUCAAAUGAAUUCCAUUUUGUGCAUCUGCUGAUGUGAAGGAAGACGGUGGUAAGCAAAGUGAUAUGAAGGUGGCAUCGAUGUCAUUAUGUAGCUUCUUUUGUCAGGGUUUAACAUGACUUAUGUGAGCUAUAUUUAUCUCGACUUGAAUUGUGUAUACACUAGGCUUCGCAUGUUAUUAGAGUGUCCCGUCCAUGUAAUGUACUUGGCCAUGAACUCAACCUUUUAUUUAUGUCUUUAUG